rnacentral:snRNA from 1 species
GGAUGAGGGAGAUCUGGCUGUGACCUGUCAUCUGUUGAUCUCUAGGGUUGAUUUGGCUGAUCUGGUUGAUGACCCCCUGACCCACUACUCCAUAUGUGACCAUCUGAAGUGUCACACUCACAAAGGAUGACCUUCCUGACAUGGAGGGACUGAUCUUGGGCCAAAGGUAAUGAGUAGCUGAGUAACCUUGCUGAGACAUCUCUCAAGGUCCAUUUCUGAGCUGGAGAGAUGGUUUAGCAGUUAAGGCACUUGCCUGCAAAAGCCAAAGGCCCUUGGUU